rnacentral:rRNA from 1 species
UACGGGGGAGCAAGCGUUGUUCGGAUUUACUGGCGUAAAGGGCGCGUAGGCGGUCAGCACAAGUCAGUUGUGAAAUCUCCGGGCUUAACUCGGAAAGGUCAACUGAUACUGUGCGACUAGAGUGCAGAAGGGGCAACUGGAAUUCUCGGUGUAGCGAUGAAUGCGUAGAUAAUCGAGAGGAACACCUGCGGCGAAGGCGGGUUGCUGGGCUGACACUGACGCUGAUGACGCGAAGCCAGGGAGGCGAACGGG